AGAGUUUUGUAUCCUGGCUCAGGAGUGAACGCUGGCGGCGUGCUUAACACAUGCAAGUCGAACGAUGAAGCUCCUGCUUGCAGGGUGGGAUUAGUGGCGAACGGGUGAGUAUCACGUGAGUAACCUGCCCUUGACUCUGGGAUAAGCCUGGGAAACUGGGUCUAAUACCGGAUAGUACUUCGCACCGCAUGGUGUGGGGUGGAAAGAUUUUAUCGGUCUUGGAUGGGCUCGCGGCCUAUCAGCUUGACGGUGGGGUAGUGGCUCACCGUGGCUUUGACGGGUAGCCGGCCUGAGAGGGUGACCGGCCACACUGGGACUGAGACACGGCCCAGACUCCUACGGGAGGCAGCAGUGGGGAAUAUUGCACAAUGGGCGCAAGCCUGAUGCAGCGACGCCGCGUGCGGGAUGACGGCCUUCGGGUCGUAAACCGCUUUCAGCAGGGAAGAAGCUUUUGUGACGGUACCUGCAGAAGAAGCGCCGGCUAACUACGUG
rnacentral:rRNA from 1 species